rnacentral:rRNA from 1 species
GACGAACUGUCCUAACGUUGUUCGGAAUCACUGGGCUUAAAGGGCGCGUAGGCGGUCCGACAAGUCAGGGGUGAAAUCCUGCAGCUUAACUGCAGAAGUGCCUUUGAUACUGUCGGUCUUGAGGGAGAUAGGGGUGUGCGGAACUCACAGUGGAGCGGUGAAAUGCGUUGAUAUUGUGGGGAACGCCGGAGGCGAAAGCGGCGCACUGGAUCUCUUCUGACGCUGAGGCGCGAAAGCUAGGGGAGCAAACGGG